rnacentral:rRNA from 1 species
CCUACGGGAUGCAGCAGUGAGGAAUAUUGGUCAAUGGACGAGAGUCUGAACCAGCCAAGUAGCGUGAAGGAUGACUGCCCUAUGGGUUGUAAACUUCUUUUAUAAAGGAAUAAAACGAGGCACGUGUGCCUGUUUGCAUGUACUUUAUGAAUAAGGAUCGGCUAACUCCGUGCCAGCAGCCGCGGUAAUACGGAGGAUCCGAGCGUUAUCCGGCUUUAUGGGGUUUAAAGGGAGCGUAGAUGGGUUGUUAAGUCAGUUGUGAAAGUUUGCGGCGCAACCGUAAAAUUGCAAUUGAUACUGGCAGUCUUGAGUACAGUUGAGGUAGGCGGAAUUCGUGGUGUAGCGGUGAAAUGCUUAGAUAUCACGAAGAACCCCGAUUGCGAAGGCAGCUUACUAAACUGUGACUGACAUUGAUGCUCGAAAGUGUGGGUAUCAAACAGGAUUAGAUACCCCUGUAGUC